rnacentral:misc_RNA from 1 species
AGUCGUAACAAGGUAACCGUAGGUGAACCUGCGGUUGGAUCAUUAUUAGCUUCUCGAGGUCCGCUCUGGCCUCACUCGAGCUCGACUCUCCUCGCUCACUAGAGGGAGGGGGGAAGGGCGAGGGUGGGUCAGGGUGGGUCGAGAGAUUCUAACCCAAACCAAACCGUGAUGCGAAAAACGAACAGUAUAUCUCUUAAACUAAAACUUGAUUCAGUCGGUCACCCAGUACUGGGGUCUCCCUCGCCCUAACCAGCGAGGCGGCCUCGAGAAGAGCGACCACCCUAAACAAAAACCUUUUGCGGUGGAUGUCUAGGUUACCC